rnacentral:rRNA from 1 species
AGAGUUUGAUCAUGGCUCAGGAUGAACGCUGGCGGCGUGCUUAACACAUGCAAGUCGAACGAACCUUCGGGUUAGUGGCGGACGGGUGAGUAACGCGUGGGAACCUGCCCUCAGGAGGGGGAUAACGGCUGGAAACGGCCGCUAAUACCCCAUAUGCCGAGAGGUGAAAAGAAAUUCGCCUGAGGAUGGGCCCGCGUCUGAUUAGCUAGUUGGUGGGGUAAGAGCCUACCAAGGCGACGAUCAGUAGCUGGUCUGAGGGGAUGAUCAGCCACACUGGGACUGAGACACGGCCCAGACUCCUACGGGAGGCAGCAGUGGGGAAUUUUCCGCAAUGGGGGAAAGCCUGACGGAGCAACGCCGCGUGAGGGAUGAAGGCCUCUGGGCUGUAAACCUCUUUUCUCAAGGAAGAAGAACUGACGGUACUUGAGGAAUAAGCCACGGCUAAUUCCGUGCCAGCAGCCGCGGUAAUACGGGAGUGGCAAGCGUUAUCCGGAAUUAUUGGGCGUAAAGCGUCCGCAGGCGGCCUUGUAAGUCUGUCGUUAAAGCGUGGAGCUUAACUCCAUUUGAGCGAUGGAAACUACAAGGCUUGAGUGUGGUAGGGGCAGAGGGAAUUCCCGGUGUAGCGGUGAAAUGCGUAGAUAUCGGGAAGAACACCAGUGGCGAAGGCGCUCUGCUGGGCCAUAACUGACGCUCAUGGACGAAAGCCAGGGGAGCGAAAGGGAUUAGAUACCCCUGUAGUCCUGGCCGUAAACGAUGAACACUAGGUGUCGGGGGAAUCGACCCCCUCGGUGUCGUAGCCAACGCGUUAAGUGUUCCGCCUGGGGAGUACGCACGCAAGUGUGAAACUCAAAGGAAUUGACGGGGGCCCGCACAAGCGGUGGAGUAUGUGGUUUAAUUCGAUGCAACGCGAAGAACCUUACCAGGGUUUGACAUCCUGCGAACCUCUGAGAAAUCGGGGGGUGCCUUCGGGAACGCAGAGACAGGUGGUGCAUGGCUGUCGUCAGCUCGUGUCGUGAGAUGUUGGGUUAAGUCCCGCAACGAGCGCAACCCACGUCUUUAGUUGCCAGCAUUCAGUUGGGCACUCUAGAGAGACCGCCGGUGAUAAACCGGAGGAAGGUGUGGAUGACGUCAAGUCAUCAUGCCCCUUACAUCCUGGGCUACACACGUACUACAAUGCUACGGACAAAGGGCAGCAAGCUCGCGAGAGUAAGCAAAUCCCAUAAACCGUGGCUCAGUUCAGAUCGUAGGCUGCAACUCGCCUACGUGAAGGAGGAUUCGCUAGUAAUCGCAGGUCAGCAUACUGCGGUGAAUACGUUCCCGGGCCUUGUACACACCGCCCGUCACACCAUGGAAGUUGGCCACGCCCGAAGUCGUUACUCCAACCCUUGUGGAGGAGGACGCCGAAGGUGGGGCUGAUGACUGGGGUGAAGUCGUAACAAGGUAACC